rnacentral:rRNA from 1 species
GACGAACGCUGGCGGCGUGCCUAAUACAUGCAAGUCGAACGAGAGCAACCGGUGCUUGCACUGGUCAAUCUAGUGGCGAACGGGUGGGUAACACGUGGGUAACCUGCCCAUCAGAGGGGGAUAACAUCCGGAAACGGAUGCUAAAACCGCAUAGGUCUUCGAACCGCAUGGUUUGAAGAGGAAAAGAGGCGCAAGCUUCUGCUGAUGGAUGGACCCGCGGUGCAUUAGCUAGUUGGUGAGGUAACGGCUCACCAAGGCCGUGAUGCAUAGCCGACCUGAGAGGGUGAUCGGCCACAUUGGGACUGAGACACGGCCCAAACUCCUACGGGAGGCAGCAGUAGGGAAUCUUCCGCAAAGGACGCAAGUCUGACGGAGCAACGCCGCGUGAGUGAAGAAGGUUUUCGGAUCGUAAAACUCUGUUGUUAGAGAAGAACAAGUGCUAGAGUAACUGUUAGCGCCUUGACGGUAUCUAACCAGAAAGCCACGGCUAACUACGUG